GUGAGAUUGUGCUUGUUGACCUGAAUCAUGGAAAAUGCCUGGGCCGUAUAUGAAGUACAGAAGAGCUCCAGGUGUGAGGUAGUGCUUGGUAAGAUAAAGACUUCAAUGUAGCACCUGGUAUUGUGAGGGUGACCUGUCUUUCCUGGGUCUUCAGCAAUGUAGGAACUUCUUUGGCAGUAGUUUUAAUUUAAUCCUUUAAUCUCUAAUUUUGCAGCCCAUUUAGAAAUAAAAAAAUUACAAGCAAAGCUUUUGGUUUCCAUCUUAAUUGUAUUACUUUAUCACCAAUAUAGAACAGAGAGAUCCAUAGUGGAUUACAAUAAGUGGAGAGGCCCUGUAGCUGGAGUGUGCCUGCAGAAUUUCUAAGAAGGCCAGCAUGCCUGCAGCAUAGAAAGCAAUGGAGAAGGGAAAUGGAGGAUGAAGUCAGAAUGGCGACGAGGGACCAGAUGGUGGAGGCUUUCAGGUCAUUAAGGGCUUUACUUAUUUUGAAUGACGUUUAUUUUGACAACAAUUAAUGGGUUUUGAGCAGAGGAGCAAGAAGACACGACUUACAUUUUAUCGGGAUCAUUUCAGCAUUCUUGAAUAAGUUGAAAAGAGAAAUCAUUUAGAAAACAUCUGCACCUAUCCAGCAUCAAGAAACAAAUGACGAUUUUCAAUACUCGGAGUAUACUGGCAGAGGAAUCCUGAAUCAACUGGCAUAGGUCUGCCACUGAUGCAGGAAGUUGAACCUGGCAGCUGCAGCCAAUCAGAGCUGAAGAACAGUCAAGUCAAGCAAACAUGAUCGCUGGAGAUGCAGCAACUAUCUUGGACAACAAGGUGACAAGAAGCUUAAUUUGACAACAAUACAAAAAGAUAGUAUCCUGUGUCCCUGAUGACACCAAGAGGGUGCAUAAUAUUUUCCUGCAGAUGUGGAACUUACAUAUAUGGAGACCCAAUGGAAACCUCCUGGGUUUUCUAUGCAGACAAUUAUGUCUGCAAAUAAUGAGUUUUCUAAACAAAUUCCUUUCUGAUUUUUUUUUUGCUUGUCUUAUUACAUUGCCUAGGAAUAACAUUAUUAUAAUGAGUAGAACUAGUGAUAACAGUCUUUUGUCUUUUUUGUGCAUUUAAUGCAAAUGCUCAUCUUUACUAUUAAGUGUGCUAACAGCUGAAGUUAUCAGGUUAAUAUACUUCACCAGGUUAAGAAGGUUUGUUUCUAUUUCUGUUUUGUUAAACUACAAAAAAAAUCAUAAAUGAAAAUUAACUUUUCCUCUUGAUUUAUCACAUUUAUUUAAAUAAACACAGUUAUGAUUUCUCUUUUAAUCUACUAAAAUGUUGGAGUCUUCUCUAAUGUUGACCCAUCAUUACAUAUCUAAGAUGUCUGAGAAAUACACAUUUGAGGUAAAUUCUACUUGUUUAUGGUUUUGUAACCAUACCAGACAAACCUGUUUCAACUUUUAUGUAAGAAAGUUGUGAGUUUUUCAGUUGCUAUGGACCCCCACACAUUGACAGUCACAUAACCUGAGCAUGCCCAGUUGAACCAACUAUGCAACCACAGUUGGAACUUAAGUGCUCAGACCAAGAAACAGGGACUUAAUUAAGACAUGGAUACCACAUGGAACAAUCCAGGAUCCAAUCAGAUCAAGACUUGGUGUCACCUUAUAGCAGGAUCCUGUCAGAUCAAGAGAUCCAUGCCUAGUGGAAUCAUCUGAUUUAAAAAUCCAAUCAAAUCACACCUCAUUACUCUAUAGCUAUAAGACCUGCCCCAGCUCUCCAGCUCAAGGAAAUGGAUUUGAGCCUUUCCUCCUAUCUUCUUGCCAGUCAGCUUGCAGAGAACCUUUUCUUUUCUCCAAAGCCAGUGCCAUGACAUUGGCUUGUAUGGGUAUCAGGCAGUGAGCCCACUGAUUGUUUGGUAAAAAAUUUUAAGUGACAUUUAAAAUUUUAAAUAAAAUGUGAAUUUUGACUUGCUGACACUUAUCUUGGGAGUUCUCCAUGAACGUUCAUAAUUCUGAUUGACCUAUAAUUUUGUCUUAUUGAACUGCCCUUGCCUUAGUCUGGUAUUGAUAUUUUAAUAUUCUCUCAAAGACCUGAGAAGCUUUUCCUAUUUCUUUACUUUCUGAAGCAGUUUAUAAAAUAAGUGGAUUAUAUUUUUCAUCACGUGUAGAAAAUAAAAAAUUCUUGGCCCUAGUAUCUUAACAUUUUUCUAAUAAAAAUUAAUUUUUAUUAUAAAAAUUAAAAUUUGUUAUUAAAAAUUUAAUUUUUUAAUUGUAAAAAUUUUUUAUUAUAAAAUUUAAAAAAUUAUUACAAAAAUUAACAAUUUUUUAUUAUACUUUAAGUUCUGGGGUACAUGUGCAGAACGUGCAGGUUUUUUACAUAGAUAUACACAUGCCAUGGUAGUCUGCUGCACCCAUCAACCUGUGAUCUGUAUACAUUAGGUAUUUCUCCUAAUGCUAUCCCUCCCCUAGCCCACCACCCCCUGACAGGCCUGGUGAAUGAUGUUCCCCUCCCUGUGUCAAUGUGUUCUCUUUGUUCAGCUCCCACUUAUGAGUAAGAACAUGCGGUGUUUGAUUUUUUGUUCUUGUGUUAGUUUGCUGAGAAUGAUGGAAAAAUUAUGAUAAA
rnacentral:lncRNA from 10 species